AUUGAACGCUGGCGGAAUGCUUUACACAUGCAAGUCGAACGGCAGCACGGGGGCAACCCUGGUGGCGAGUGGCGAACGGGUGAGUAAUAUAUCGGGACGUGCCCAGUCGUGGGGGAUAACGUAGCGAAAGUUACGCUAAUACCGCAUACGAUCUAAGGAUGAAAGCGGGGGAUCGCAAGACCUCGCGCGAUUGGAGCGGCCGAUAUCAGAUUAGGUAGUUGGUGGGGUAAAGGCUCACCAAGCCAACGAUCUGUAGCUGGUCGGAGAGGACGACCAGCCACACGGGAACUGAGACACGGUCCAGACUCCUCCGGGAGGCAGCAGGGGGGAAUUGUGGACAAUGGACACAAGUCUGAUCCAGCCAUUCCGCGUGAAGGAUGAAGGCCCUCGGGUUGUAAACUGCUUUUGUACGGAACGAAAAGGUCUCUCUUAAUACGGGGGGCUCAUGACGGUACCGUAAGAAUAAGCACCGGCUAACUACGUGCCAGCCGCCGCCGUAA
rnacentral:rRNA from 1 species